rnacentral:rRNA from 1 species
AGUCGAGGGGCAGCACGGUGUAGCAAUACACUGGUGGCGACCGGCGCACGGGUGAGUAACACGUGUGCAACCAACCCCGUACCGGGAGAUAACCCGCGGAAACGUGGACUAACAUCCCAUGAUACUCGAGAGCCGCAUGGCUCUAGAUUUAAAAUUCCGGUGGUACGGGACGGGCACGCGCGACAUUAGGUAGUUGGCGGGGUAAGGGCCCACCAAGCCGACGAUGUCUAGGGGUUCUGAGAGGAAGGUCCCCCACACUGGAACUGAGACACGGUCCAGACUCCUACGGGAGGCAGCAGUGAGGAAUAUUGGUCAAUGGGCGAGAGCCUGAACCAGCCAAGUCGCGUGAGGAACGAAUGGUCUAUGGCCUGUAAACCUCUUUUGUCAAGGAAGAAUAAAUCGCACGGGUGCGAUCUUGCCAGUACUUGACGAAUAAGCAUCGGCUAACUCCGUGCCAGCAGCCGCGGUAAUACGGGGGAUGCGAGCGUUAUCCGGAUUUAUUGGGUUUAAAGGGCGCGUAGGCGGGACGUCAAGUCAGCGGUAAAAGACUGCAGCUAAACUGUAGCACGCCGUUGAAACUGGCGCCCUCGAGACGAGACGAGGGAGGCGGAACAAGUGAAGUAGCGGUGAAAUGCAUAGAUAUCACUUGGAACCCCGAUAGCGAAGGCAGCUUCCCAGGCUCGAUCUGACGCUGAUGCGCGAGAGCGUGGGUAGCGAACAGGAUUAGAUACCCUGGUAGUCCACGCCGUAAACGAUGCU